UUCAUACAAACACAGACUCAUUCUCUCUGCUGAACUACAAUCAGAUUUCAGAAUUCAAUCUUUCUUCUUCUCAAAUAAUACCAAUCACAUUUCCAUUCCAUAAUUCACUUUACAAUAUUCAGAAACUUUCAAUCCUCUUAUUCAAAGAAAAUAACAAACAAAAGAAAAGAGGUAGCACCAAGCUUACCCCGACUCACACUAUCACAGCUAUGGCCCUCAGCUCACAACUCUCACUGUCUGGCCCCCUAAUUAACUUCUACAACUUCUAUAUACUUUCCCCUGAUUCUCCAGAUUCUAACCGUAAUUCUGUAAUUAAUCACUUUUAAUAACUAAAUCACUCAUCCAUCCUCCUGAAUUUCCUAUUAUAUGGACUAUUAAUAUAUUUUACCAAUAUCUUUCAAAAACGAAUUAAUAUCUAAUCUACAUAGCUCCACUCCUAUCUGUGCAGCAUCCUCGCAAACACUCAAUUAAUACCUAUCUAAAAAUUAUCUAACAAAACUCUAUAAAAAUUGCGAUCCUUCUAACCUAUCUAAUUAAUCAAUUGUCACAGUAUCUGUUA
rnacentral:lncRNA from 1 species